AUAAAGAGUGUAGGGCCCAGAAAGGAAGGGAGAGACGGGCGUGGAGACCCCAGUUCCCAAGGAGAACGGAAGAGUGGAAGGAUGGAGAUCUCAGACUCAGGAGAGAAGGCCUCCAGGUCCCAACUUUGGGAAGAGGCAGGGGAGGGGAUAAAAAUCACCAGAUGCCAGGGGUAGCACAGGAUAUUAUUUCCCUUCGCCGGCAGCACUUGAGAGCGGAACAGCCAAGCCCCAUGGUGGCAUAAGCAGUCCUCAAGGGCCCCCUUUGCCUCCUCACAUUCUGGAAAGGUCUCUUGAUUCUAGCUCAGCCUUUGUUCACGAAUCUCAUGGCCAUUCUCCCUACCCAUAGCUUGGACCCUAACCACUGUCUUCAGGAACAAUGGAUGUACAGCCUCUACAGUUGAUGGCCCCUGAUCCCUUUAGGGAUAAAGGUGUCGAGGCUCCUCUGUUUCUCUCCCCAGAACCAGCAACACAUGCUGUUUACACUGGGCUCUUCCUGCCCAGAACAAAGUGCCAGCUAAGAUAAAUCACUGUCAGCACCCGGGUCUCAGGAUGGAGUUUGAAUACAGGGCCUCACACAUGCCAGGUAAGUGCUCUGCCAUUUAACAGUAUCCCCAGCCCUGCCUGCCUGCCUGCCUGCCUGCCUGCCUCCCUGCCUCCCUGCCUCCUUCCUUUUUUGAAAUACUUAAAAAUAUUUUCUUUUCUGUUCUUCGUACCAAACUCAAGGCCUUGCCCAUGCCAAACAAGAACUCUAUGGCUAAGCCACACCCCCAGCCUUCUUUUAAGAGUAAUUUUGAAAAAUAUAAAACCAAAUAAACAAACCAACCAGAAAAUAA